rnacentral:rRNA from 1 species
UGGGGAAUAUUGGACAAUGGGCGCAAGCCUGAUCCAGCAACGCCGCGUGAGUGAUGAAGGCCUUAGGGUUGUAAAGCUCUUUUACCCGGGAAGAUAAUGACAGUACCGGGAGAAUAAGCCCCGGCUAACUCCGUGCCAGCAGCCGCGGUAAUAUAU